rnacentral:rRNA from 1 species
CUGCUCAGUAACACGUAGCUAACUUAUCCUAAAGCUGGAAAUAAGGUCGGGAAACUGACUCUAAUGUCCAAUAGGUGAUUUUUUCUGGAAUGAUUAAUCACUCAAAGUUUGCUUUAGGCUAGGGCUGCGGUUGAUUAGGUUGUUGGCGGGGUAAUGGCCCACCAAGCCGAUGAUCAAUAAGGGCUCUUAGCGGAGAGGCCCUGAGAGGGAAUCUGAGACACUAUUCCCAGCCCUACGGGGUGCAGCAGUCGGGAAACUUUUGCAAUGCACGAAAGUGUGACAAAGCAAGCCAGAGUGCUUUUCCGUAUUAGGAAAAGCUUUUGUGAGAUGUAAAAAGUCUCACGAAUAAGGACUGGGCAAGACUGGUGCCAGCCGCCGCGGUAAUACCAGCGGUCCGAGUCGCAGCCACAUUUAUUGGGUCUAAAACAUCCGUAGCUUGCUAAGUAAGUCUUUUGUGAAAUCCGGAAUCUUAAAUUUCGGGCGAGCAAGAGAUACUGCAUAGCUAGAGACCGGGAGACGUAAGAAGUACGAUUAGGGUAGCGGUUAAAUGCGUUGAUCCUUAUUGGACUAACAAUAGCGAAGGCAUCUUACGAGAACGGAUCUGACAGUGAGGGAUGAAGGCUAGGGUCGCAAAACGGAUUAGAUACCCGUGUAGUCCUAGCAGUAAACACUGCACACUAAACAUCAGUACCUCUUCGAGAGGUAUUGGUGCUGAAGGGAAGCCGGAGAGUGUGCUACCUGGGAAGUAUAGUCGCAAGACCGAAACUUAAAGGAAUUGGCGGGGGAG